GACGAACGCUGGCGGCGUGCUUAACACAUGCAAGUCGAACGGAAAGGCCCUGCUUGCAGGGUGCUCGAGUGGCGAACGGGUGAGUAACACGUGGGUGAUCUGCCCCUUACUUUGGGAUAAGCCUGGGAAACUGGGUCUAAUACUGGAUAGGACCAUGCUGUAGGUGGUGUGGUGGAAAGAUUAGUUUCGGUAAGGGAUGAGCUCGCGGCCUAUCAGCUUGUUGGUGGGGUAAUGGCCUACCAAGGCGUCGACGGGUAGCCGGCCUGAGAGGGUGGACGGCCACAUUGGGACUGAGAUACGGCCCAGAAUCCUACGGGAGGCAGCAGUGGGGAAGAUUGCACAAUGGGCGCAAGCCUGAUGCAGCGACGCCGCGUGGGGGAUGACGGCCUUCGGGUUGUAAACUCCUUUCAGCCAUGACGAAGCCCUUGUGGUGACGGUAGUGGUAGAAGAAGCACCGGCUAACUACGUG
rnacentral:rRNA from 1 species